rnacentral:rRNA from 1 species
AGUGAACGCUGGCGGUAGGCCUAACACAUGCAAGUCGAACGGCAGCACAGUAAGAGCUUGCUCUUACGGGUGGCGAGUGGCGGACGGGUGAGGAAUACAUCGGAAUCUACUUUUUCGUGGGGGAUAACGUAGGGAAACUUACGCUAAUACCGCAUACGACCUACGGGUGAAAGCAGGGGAUCUUCGGACCUUGCGCGAUUGAAUGAGCCGAUGUCGGAUUAGCUAGUUGGCGGGGUAAAGGCCCACCAAGGCGACGAUCCGUAGCUGGUCUGAGAGGAUGAUCAGCCAUACUGGAACUGAGACACGGUCCAGACUCCUACGGGAGGCAGCAGUGGGGAAUAUUGGACAAUGGGCGCAAGCCUGAUCCAGCCAUACCGCGUGGGUGAAGAAGGCCUUCGGGUUGUAAAGCCCUUUUGUUGGGAAAGAAAAGUAGCAGGUUAAUACCCCGCUGUUCUGACGGUACCCAAAGAAUAAGCACGGGCUAACUUCGUG